GACGAGCGCUGGCGGCGUGCUUAACACAUGCAAGUCGAACGGAAAGGCCCUGCUUUUGUGGGGUGCUCGAGUGGCGAACGGGUGAGUAACACGUGAGUAACCUGCCCUUGACUUUGGGAUAACUUCAGGAAACUGGGGCUAAUACCGGAUAGGAGCUCCUGCUGCAUGGUGGGGGUUGGAAAGUUUCGGCGGUUGGGGAUGGACUCGCGGCUUAUCAGCUUGUUGGUGGGGUAGUGGCUUACCAAGGCUUUGACGGGUAGCCGGCCUGAGAGGGUGACCGGCGACAUUGGGACUGAGAUACGGCCCAGACUCCUACGGGAGGCAGCAGUGGGGAAUAUUGCACAAUGGGCGGAAGCCUGAUGCAGCAACGCCGCGUGCGGGAUGACGGCCUUCGGGUUGUAAACCGCUUUCGCCUGUGACGAAGCGUGAGUGACGGUAAUGGGUAAAGAAGCACCGGCUAACUACGUG
rnacentral:rRNA from 1 species